ACAUGCAAGUCGAGCGCCGUAGCAAUACGGAGCGGCAGACGGGAGAGUAACACGUGGGAACGUACCCUUUGGUUCGGAACAACCCAGGGAAACUUGGGCUAAUACCGGAUAAGCCCUUACGGGGAAAGAUUCAUCGCCGAAGGAUCGGCCCGCGUCUGAUUAGCUAGUUGGUGGGGUAAUGGCCCACCAAGGCGACGAUCAGUAGCUGGUCUGAGAGGAUGAUCAGCCUCACUGGGACUGAGACACGGCCCAGACUCCUACGGGAGGCAGCAGUGGGGAAUAUUGGACAAUGGGCGCAAGCCUGAUCCAGCCAUGCCGCGUGGGUGAUGAAGGCCCUAGGGUUGUAAAGCCCUUUCGGCGGGGAAGAUAAUGACGGUACCCGCAGAAGAAGCCCCGGCUAACUUCGUGCCAGCAGCCGCGGUAAUACGAAGGGGGCUAGCGUUGCUCGGAAUCACUGGGCGUAAAGCGCACGUAGGCGGAUUGUUAAGUCAGGGGUGAAAUCCUGGAGCUCAACUCCAGAACUGCCUUUGAUACUGGCGAUCUU
rnacentral:rRNA from 1 species